GCAGAACUUCUAGCAUCUCCGGAGAGAGAAAAGUGAGGGAAGCCCAGGUCUAGUGAGCCAAAAAGCCCGGAAAAGCAAGCCCUCCCCAGCACCCUAAAACGAAAACCCAGAUGCCCUUCAGGACAAUCGGCCAUCACCCAAAGCACAGAGCAGCGAAUCUCCAGUCGAAGGACCCGUUUAUUCGUGGCUGCUUUGGUCCUCCGCUUUCUUAAGGAGUUAAAUUCAUAUCAUCAAAGGCUCUUAUUCAAGUAAGCAACAAUACUCCAAUCUGGCUAUGCAUGAAAAUCACUUGGGAUGUUUCUAAAAGUGAGAUUCCUGGAUCUACCCUGAAGGUUCCUGAUAAGGACCAAAGCCACUUCUUGAGCAUGAGGCUCAUGUGCAAUGGCACUUGUUGGAGUUGCCAGGUGAAACACAGGGCACCCAGAUAAUUUGAAUUUCUGAUAGACAACGAAAAAUCUCUAAUAUCUGCCAUUGAGAGAUAAGUCCAUUCCAAAGAGACUGAAGAAUUCUAGCCUCUGAGAUGGCAGGGCUAAGAUGGAUUCCCCAAUAUUCACCAAGGUCAGUGCCACUCUGGUGGAAGCCAAUCUGGAGUAUCAGUCACUCCUAUUGGGUGUGAAUUGCUUUCUUUAAACUCCAAAAAGUAAUGGAAAAAAUAUUUUGUUAAGUGUUUCAUUUGUUUAAUAGACAUCAAUGAGUAUCUAAUUUCAUACCCUGGAGGAGGUCACAGUCUUAACUCCGAAAAGAGACAUAAACAAUAUGAUAAUGAUUAUAAACAAUAAGCAAAAUGCAAAAGUUUAUAAAUCUAAAUUACUGAGAGAGAACAGAGGAGAUGAUUAUAUCAGGGAAGUUUGAGAAGGAUUCAUGGAGGAAGUCAUAUUUAUGCUAGCUCAUGAAUGGUGUAUAAGGAUAUACCUAGCUGAAGGUGGGGUGAGGAGAGGUGAGCAUUCCAGAUAGUUGGAACAGCAUGUGCUAAGGGCUAAGGCAUGGAAAUGAGAAGGGACAUGGUAUGCUUUAGGAAUCAUAACAAAUUUACUGGGACUAGAACAAAAAAUACAAAAUCAAUGGAAAGGAACAAGAAAGAGGUAGUGAUGGGGUUUAAUACUAGAAAGAUAGUUUGGGACCAGCUUAUGAAGAUCAUUUUAUGCUAUUUAAAGGAGCUUGGAUCAUAUCUUGUAGUCAAGAUAGAGAAACAUGUUGCAAAAGUGAGAUAAAGUCAGAGUUGACUGGAUUUUUUCCUAAAGAUGUUUUAAUUACUGGAAAGACAUUAACCUGAAGGAGGAUACUUGGUGAAGCGCCGCAUGGUUCUGAAGUUGACUUUAUCCUGUAGAAUACUUUUUAUCAACAAUUUUGUGGAUAGAGAAAGUAAUUUCAUCAAACUGUCCAAUCAUGCAAGCCUGGAAAAAAAAUGCUAAAAUGUUGAAUGAUUGAAUUAAAAAUUUGAAAGACUACACUAUCAACAAUAGCCAAAGUAUGGAAAGAGCCCAAAUGUCCA